ensembl:lncRNA
GGAAUGAUUAUCCCCUCUACACUGGAGCAGACCUUAGGAAAAGAAAUGGAAUGAGAUGUGGGCAACAAACAUCCGUAUGGAAAGGAAAACCGUCUGAAAUUUCAAAGAAAACCCAAUUCCAUUUUCAGAGAAUGGUAGAGAACACUCUUCAGCCUGAGACCCAUCCCCAUCAGCACCCCACAACCUCAAUACAAAUUUACCACAUUAGUCUAUUCUCACGCUGCUAUGAAGAAAUACCUGGGACUGGGUAAUGUAUAAAGAAAAGAUGUUUAAUUGACUCAUGGUUCCACAUGGCUGGGGAGGCCUCAGGAAACUUAUAAUCGUGGCAGAAGGCACCUCUUCACAGGGAAGCAGGAGAGAGAAUGUGUGCCAGUGAUGGAAAUGCCAGACACUUAUAAAACCAUCAGAUCUCAUGAUAAAUCACUCAUGUUCAUGAGAACAGCAUGGGGAACACCAAGAGGUUUUCUCCUACCAGGUCCCUCUCACAAUACAUGGGGAUUGUGGAAACUACAAUUCAAGAUGAGAUAAGGACAUAGGAAAACCAUAUCAACCUCCUUCCGCCUUUGCCAACUUCAGUAUCAAGAAAAAUCGAGAGAUAAGUCUUCUAAUAACUCAAACCCCUUAAAUAACUCAGAGCAAAGGCACCACUCACCCCCUUCGGGUGUUCUGUUUUCUUUGUGUGUUUCAAGCGCAAAACUGGGUGGCUGUUUGGACAGACACCCAGCUAGUUGCAGGAGUUUUUUGUCUGUUUGUUUGUUUUUUGUUUUUUGUUUUUCAUACCACAGUGGUGUCUGGAAACCCACUGAGACAGAACCUUUCACUCUCCUGUAAAGGGAGCUGAAGCCAGGGAGCCAAGUGGUCUCACUCAGCGUGUCCCAUUCCCAUGGAGCCUAGCAAGCUAAGAACCACUGGCUUGAAAUUCUCGCUGCCAGCACAGCAGUCUGAAGUCUACUGGGGAUGAGAUUGAGCUUGGUGGGGGGAUGGCUAUCUGCCAUUACUGAGGCUUGAGUAGGUGGUUUUUCCCUGACAGUGCUAAGGAGCCUGGAAAUUCGGACUGGGCAGAAUUCACCACAGCAUGGCAAAGCUGCUGUGGCCAGACUGCCUCUCUAGAUUCCUCCUCAUUGUGUAGGGCAUCUCUGAAAAAAGGCAGCAUCCCUUGCCAGGGACUUAUAGAUAAAACUCCCAUCUUCCUGGGAGAGAAGCUGAGUUGGCUCUUGGCAGAGUGUCAGCAGACUUAAAAGUUCCUGCCUGCCAUCUCUGAAGAGAGCAGUGGAUCCUGACAAGGAUGAUUAUCCUGGCAUAGCACUUGAGCUCUACUAAGGGACAGACUGCCUCCUCAAGUGGGUCCUUGACCCCCAUGCCUCCUGAUUGGGAGAGACCUCCCAGCAGGGAUUGACAGACACCUCAUACAGGAGAGCUCCAGCUGGCAUCAGGCUGGUACCCCUCUGGGAUGAAGCUUCCAGUGGAAGGAGCAGACAGUAAUCUCUGCUGUUCUGCAGCAUCUGCUGGUGAUGACCGGACAAACAGGAUCUGGACUGGACCUCCAGAAAACUGCAGCAGACCUGCAGAAGAGGAGUCUGACUGUUAGAAGAAAAACUAACAAACAGAAAGCAAUAACAUCAACAUCAACAAAAGGGACCCCCACACA